GUUAUUUUGACAGAUUAAAUGUGAUGGUUUUAGAAAUCAUUAAUAUAUAAAUUCAAUUAUAUAAAUAGUA
rnacentral:tRNA from 1 species